GCACUGCUGAUGAAUUCCAAACAGGACGAAACACCUGUCCAGUAC
rnacentral:hammerhead_ribozyme from 1 species